rnacentral:tRNA from 1 species
GCGCUAAUAGCUUAAAAUACAAAGCGUCGGUUUUGUAAUCCGGCAAUGCGAGUUAAAGUCUCACUUAACGCC